rnacentral:rRNA from 1 species
GAUGAACGCUGGCGGCGUGCCUAAUACAUGCAAGUCGAGCGAACAGACGAGGAGCUUGCUCCUCUGACGUUAGCGGCGGACGGGUGAGUAACACGUGGAUAACCUACCUAUAAGACUGGGAUAACUUCGGGAAACCGGAGCUAAUACCGGAUAAUAUAUUGAACCGCAUGGUUCAAUAGUGAAAGACGGUUUUGCUGUCACUUAUAGAUGGAUCCGCGCCGCAUUAGCUAGUUGGUAAGGUAACGGCUUACCAAGGCAACGAUGCGUAGCCGAACUGAUAGGGUGGUCGGCCACACUGGAAGUGGAACACGGUCCAGACUCCUACGGGAGGCAGCAGUAGGGAAUCUGCCGCAAUGGGCGAAAGCCUGACGGAGCAACGCCGCGUGAGUGAUGAAGGUCUUCGGAUCGGAAAACUCUGUUAUUAGGGAAGAACAAAUGUGUAAGUAACUAUGCCCGUCUUGACGGUACCUAAUCAGAAAGCCACGGCUAACUACGUG